AGGAAGUGUUGACUUUCUUUAGUCGGUCGAAGGGUAGUUUCAUCUUUUGGAAGGUGUCGUAAAGCAGCAUGUUAGUUGAGCUUUCAUUAUCAAUUAAAAUCAUUUUCACACUAUAGUUAACUAUUGUCAUUAAUAUGACAAUACUAUCAUCAUAAGAAGUCUAGAUGCCAUGGAAGUCAUCUUCAAAGAAAGAAAUAAUGUUCCUGAUGCAUUGCCUCUUCAUUUGCCCUACUCAAUUUUCUGCUCCC
rnacentral:lncRNA from 1 species